GCCGUGUGUGAGGUCGUUUGUUGUUUAAUAGAAAGGCGGCUGCGGGACACUGGGUGGGCGGCUGUAUGUAUGG